rnacentral:rRNA from 1 species
UGCGGAGGGAUCAUUACAGGACUCGCAAGACUCCCGUAAACCACUGUGAACUUACCUACAACCCGUUGCCUCGGCGGGUGCUCCGGGCGUCUUCGGACGCCCCGGGGCGCUCCAGCCCGCCGGCGGCCCCUAAACUCUGUUUUUAUAACGUUGGCAUCUCCGAGCAGACUAUAAACGAGUCAAAACUUUCAACAACGGAUCUCUUGGUUCUGGCAUCGAUGAAGAACGCAGCGAAAUGCGAUAAGUAAUGUGAAUUGCAGAAUUCAGUGAAUCAUCGAAUCUUUGAACGCACAUUGCGCCCGCCAGCACUCUGGCGGGCAUGCCUGUCCGAGCGUCAUUUCAACCCUCAGGCCCCGCCUGGCGUUGGAGCCCUGCGCAGCGCAGGCUCCCAAAGACAGCGGCGGGCGCGCCCCGGAACCGAGCGCAGUAAUGCUAUCUCGUUCUGGUCCGGCGCGCGCUCCGGCCGUAAAACCCCCCAAACUUCAAGUGGUUGACCUCGGAUCAGGUAGGAAUACCCGCUGAACUUAAGCAUAUCAAUAA